UAUUGGACAAUGGGGGGAACCCUGAUCCAGCGACGCCGCGUGAGUGAAGAAGUAUCUCGGUAUGUAAAGCUCUAUCAGCAGGGAAGAAAGAAAUGACGGUACCUGAGUAAGAAGCCCCGGCUAACUACGUGCCAGCAGCCGCGGUAAUACGUAGGGGGCAAGCGUUAUCCGGAUUUACUGGGUGUAAAGGGAGCGUAGGCGGCCUGGCAAGUCUGGUGUGAAAUACCGGGGCCCAACCCCGGGACUGCAUUGGAAACUGCCAGGCUGGAGUGUCGGAGGGGCAGGCGGAAUUCCUAGUGUAGCGGUGAAAUGCGUAGAUAUUAGGAGGAACACCGGUGGCGAAGGCGGCCUGCUGGACGACAACUGACGCUGAGGCUCGAAAGCGUGGGGAGCAAACAGG
rnacentral:rRNA from 1 species